ACCACACCACACCAAGCAGCUCAACUGCAAAGACCAGAAAGAACAGGAACAACCACUGGUAGAGUAGAGUACCCCCAGUAGUCCUAGAGUGGUAGUUGUGUUGGUGGUAUACACUCCGUGUUCUGGCAUAGGAUUCUUGUUGGGCAGCUGUUGAGUUUUGGGAGCCGCUACUGCAAGUAGCCAAGUACGCACUGGGAGAAAUUAAAACGCCUUGAAAAGUGAAAACUCAGAGGAGGAAAAAAAAAGAGAACUCCCAACAAAAGCUGCCCCCACCGGGCUAAAAAAAUCGGCUCAGACCUUACCCUUUUUUUUAAAUCCCUUUUAUCCUCUGCCUAAUAGAAACCCACACACAAACACAUGAAUUCGCAGGAGCUGCAGUCUAGAGAGAGGGGGAGGAGAGGAGAGUGAGAGAGACAAAGCAUAAAGGCACUGCGGAGAAGCUGGACGCCGUGAAGAAAUCUGUAGCCUGAGAGAGAGAGAGAGAGAGAGAGUGAGGAAGAAGGGAGGGUGAUUCUCUGAUCUGGAGCUCGUUGGGGGGAAAGGAGUUGGGAGAAUCUCAUGGGAGCUUUGAAGAAAUGGGGAAAAGAAGCUCCUUGAUCCGUUCUUGAGCCGGAAAAAGUGAUCUUUCGGGUCGUGUGGCUGGAGAAAUUUGGAUCUUGAGGCUAACGGAGGACAACGCCUCGAUUCUUCCGGCGCUCCGUUGCUGCAUUGCCUUCUUGUCCCCAGAUCCGAGCUGCCGUGCGAGGAAAAGCCGGAUCUUUUGCCUGCGUUCUUCCCAAAUCCGCCCAAAUUUUGAGCUCUUGAGCUGUUUCAUGGUAGCCCCGUGCUAGCUUCAAAUCUUUUUCAGAAAGAACAUUUGUUUAGUUGGGGGUUAGAUAUGGCAGGGAUUCGGACUACUUUAUGAGCUGUCUCCUGCCAUUUUUUUUAGAGUAGAUUCGUCAGUAAUGGCGGAUCUUGCCAUGGAGUAGUAGCAGGGGUUUCCUUCGGUGAUAGCGAAGCGUACUAGCCAUAAGCGGCG
rnacentral:lncRNA from 1 species